CAAAGUGAUCCACCAUCCGACAUAUAGAUAAAACCACCAUUCAGCAUCCACCAAAACCUUGAACAAACGUUUAAGACAAGCCAGUCAAAGCCAUCCAAGAGAGAGAGAGAGAGAGAGAGAAAGUUGCAAACUUCAUAUACAAUCAACGUUCAAAAUACAAUCUUUGAAUGAAUAGAAGCCACCCAAGAAGGCAUAAAUCGGAAAAAAUCGCUUUUUUUUUUGGAAAACCCACAGGUGAGGAGAAGAACGAACAAAUCCAA
rnacentral:lncRNA from 1 species